AGUCAGUGGAGGAACAGAGAAAAAUGAAGAUGUUAAUGUGGGCAGAUUUAUGGGAUGGGUUAUAAAAUUUAUUUCUCAUGUAUGCUGAGACCCGAGAAAUUGAAGAGAAAGGGAUUUCAAGAGAGCAAGGUGUUUUGCAUAGUGUACCCACAGCUUCCAGCCCCAGGCUGAGAUACAAUCACACUGCCAUGAGUUCAAGAUGGUAAGCAGGCACCCAAGCAUUCCAAAGGGCGAGGAGUGGUUAGGAGGCAAAUAAAAGCCAAAGACCUGUAAAUGUGAGAAUUGGUCACAAAGUUACUUUACAUCUCAGCUGUAGACUGAACAGUCGCUAAAUGAGGCAGUUGCUAUAUGAGGGUUAUAUUUCAAUGAAGCAUUAAAUUUAGCUAUUAUGGUCCAAUGUAUUUCUUGAGAACAGUAAUACAAAGUCAU